AAGACUAUACUUUCAGGGAUCAUUUCUAUAGUAUUUAACUAGGAAAUGUGAUUGGAAAGUGUUACGUUUUCCUAAUCACAAUGAUGAGUCAUGAUGUACUUUUCUAAGUGUGAGUCAGAUUAGAGCUUGUGCUUACUGCAUGAGCUUUAAUCAUUGAUGACUGUUCUUUGUCUUUUAAAAGAUGAUAGAAGAAGAGUACAUGAUCUGAGUGAU